rnacentral:rRNA from 1 species
UACGUAGGGACCAAGCGUUGUCCGGAAUCAUUGGGCGUAAAGCGCGCGUAGGUGGCCAUUUAAGUCCGCUGUGAAAGUCAGAGGCUCAACCUUUGAAAGCCGGUGGAUACUGGAUGGCUAGAGUACGGAAGAGGCGAGUGGAAUUUCUGGUGUAGCGGUGGAAUGCGCAGAUAUCAGGAGGAACACCAAUAGCGAAGGCAGCUCGCUGGGACGUUACUGACACUAAGGCGCGAAAGCGUGGGGAGCGAACAGG